rnacentral:rRNA from 1 species
UACGAAGGUGGCAAGCGUUACUCGGAAUUACUAGGCGUAAAGGGCAGGUAGGUGGUUUGAUAAGUCUGUUGUGAAAGCUCCUGGCUUAACUGGGAGAGGUCAACAGAAACUAUCAGACUUGAGUAUAGGAGAGGGUACUGGAAUUCCCGGUGUAGCGGUGAAAUGCGCAGAUAUCGUAAGGAAGACCAGUGGCGAAGGCGAGUCUCUGGACAGUUACUGACGCUGAGGCACGAAGGCCAGGGGAGCAAACGGG